rnacentral:rRNA from 1 species
AGGGCGCACGGUGGAUGCCUUGGCACUAGAAGCCGAUGAAGGACGUUACUAACGACGAUAUGCUUUGGGGAGCUGUAAGUAAGCUUUGAUCCAGAGAUUUCCGAAUGGGGAAACCCAGCAUGAGUUAUGUCAUGUUAUCGAUAUGUGAAUACAUAGCAUAUCAGAAGGCACACCCGGAGAACUGAAACAUCUUAGUACCCGGAGGAAGAGAAAGAAAAUUCGAUUCCCUUAGUAGCGGCGAGCGAAACGGGAAGAGCCCAAACCAACAAGCUUGCUUGUUGGGGUUGUAGGACACUCUAUACGGAGUUACAAAGGACGACAUUAGACGAAUCAUCUGGAAAGAUGAAUCAAAGAAGGUAAUAAUCCUGUAGUCGAAAAUGUUGUCUCUCUUGAGUGGAUCCUGAGUACGACGGAGCACGUGAAAUUCCGUCGGAAUCUGGGAGGACCAUCUCCUAAGGCUAAAUACUCUCUAGUGACCGAUAGUGAACCAGUACCGUGAGGGAAAGGUGAAAAGCACCCCGGAAGGGGAGUGAAAUAGAACCUGAAACCGUGUGCUUACAAGUAGUCAGAGCCCGUUAAUGGGUGAUGGCGUGCCUUUUGUAGAAUGAACCGGCGAGUUACGAUUUGAUGCAAGGUUAAGCAGUAAAUGUGGAGCCGUAGCGAAAGCGAGUCUGAAUAGGGCGUUUAGUAUUUGGUCGUAGACCCGAAACCAGGUGAUCUACCCUUGGUCAGGUUGAAGUUCAGGUAACACUGAAUGGAGGACCGAACCGACUUACGUUGAAAAGUGAGCGGAUGAACUGAGGGUAGCGGAGAAAUUCCAAUCGAACCUGGAGAUAGCUGGUUCUCUCCGAAAUAGCUUUAGGGCUAGCCUCAAGUGAUGAUUAUUGGAGGUAGAGCACUGUUUGGACGAGGGGCCCCUCUCGGGUUACCGAAUUCAGACAAACUCCGAAUGCCAAUUAAUUUAACUUGGGAGUCAGAACAUGGGUGAUAAGGUCCGUGUUCGAAAGGGAAACAGCCCAGACCACCAGCUAAGGUCCCAAAAUAUAUGUUAAGUGGAAAAGGAUGUGGCGUUGCCCAGACAACUAGGAUGUUGGCUUAGAAGCAGCCAUCAUUUAAAGAGUGCGUAAUAGCUCACUAGUCGAGUGACACUGCGCCGAAAAUGUACCGGGGCUAAACAUAUUACCGAAGCUGUGGAUUGUCCUUUGGACAAUGGUAGGAGAGCGUUCUAAGGGCGUUGAAGCAUGAUCGUAAGGACAUGUGGAGCGCUUAGAAGUGAGAAUGCCGGUGUGAGUAGCGAAAGACGGGUGAGAAUCCCGUCCACCGAUUGACUAAGGUUUCCAGAGGAAGGCUCGUCCGCUCUGGGUUAGUCGGGUCCUAAGCUGAGGCCGACAGGCGUAGGCGAUGGAUAACAGGUUGAUAUUCCUGUACCACCUAUAAUCGUUUUAAUCGAUGGGGGGACGCAGUAGGAUAGGCGAAGCGUGCGAUUGGAUUGCACGUCUAAGCAGUAAGGCUGAGUAUUAGGCAAAUCCGGUACUCGUUAAGGCUGAGCUGUGAUGGGGAGAAGACAUUGUGUCUUCGAGUCGUUGAUUUCACACUGCCGAGAAAAGCCUCUAGAUAGAAAAUAGGUGCCCGUACCGCAAACCGACACAGGUAGUCAAGAUGAGAAUUCUAAGGUGAGCGAGCGAACUCUCGUUAAGGAACUCGGCAAAAUGACCCCGUAACUUCGGGAGAAGGGGUGCUCUUUAGGGUUAACGCCCAGAAGAGCCGCAGUGAAUAGGCCCAAGCGACUGUUUAUCAAAAACACAGGUCUCUGCUAAACCGUAAGGUGAUGUAUAGGGGCUGACGCCUGCCCGGUGCUGGAAGGUUAAGAGGAGUGGUUAGCUUCUGCGAAGCUACGAAUCGAAGCCCCAGUAAACGGCGGCCGUAACUAUAACGGUCCUAAGGUAGCGAAAUUCCUUGUCGGGUAAGUUCCGACCCGCACGAAAGGCGUAACGAUUUGGGCACUGUCUCAACGAGAGACUCGGUGAAAUCAUAGUACCUGUGAAGAUGCAGGUUACCCGCGACAGGACGGAAAGACCCCGUGGAGCUUUACUGUAGCCUGAUAUUGAAAUUCGGCACAGCUUGUACAGGAUAGGUAGGAGCCUUUGAAACGUGAGCGCUAGCUUACGUGGAGGCGCUGGUGGGAUACUACCCUAGCUGUGUUGGCUUUCUAACCCGCACCACUUAUCGUGGUGGGAGACAGUGUCAGGCGGGCAGUUUGACUGGGGCGGUCGCCUCCUAAAAGGUAACGGAGGCGCUCAAAGGUUCCCUCAGAAUGGUUGGAAAUCAUUCAUAGAGUGUAAAGGCAUAAGGGAGCUUGACUGCGAGACCUACAAGUCGAGCAGGGUCGAAAGACGGACUUAGUGAUCCGGUGGUUCCGCAUGGAAGGGCCAUCGCUCAACGGAUAAAAGCUACCCCGGGGAUAACAGGCUUAUCUCCCCCAAGAGUUCACAUCGACGGGGAGGUUUGGCACCUCGAUGUCGGCUCAUCGCAUCCUGGGGCUGUAGUCGGUCCCAAGGGUUGGGCUGUUCGCCCAUUAAAGCGGUACGCGAGCUGGGUUCAGAACGUCGUGAGACAGUUCGGUCCCUAUCCGUCGUGGGCGAAGGAAAUUUGAGAGGAGCUGUCCUUAGUACGAGAGGACCGGGAUGGACAUACCUCUGGUGUACCAGUUGUCGUGCCAACGGCAUAGCUGGGUAGCUAUGUGUGGACGGGAUAAGUGCUGAAAGCAUCUAAGCAUGAAGCCCCCCUCAAGAUGAGAUUUCCCAACUUCGGUUAU